rnacentral:piRNA from 1 species
UAAAACACAACUUGCCUUUCUAUGACAGCC